rnacentral:rRNA from 1 species
GAUGAACGCUGGCGGCGUGCCUAAUACAUGCAAGUCGAGCGAACAGACGAGGAGCUUGCUCCUCUGACGUUAGCGGCGGACGGGUGAGUAACACGUGGAUAACCUACCUAUAAGACUGGGAUAACUUCGGGAAACCGGAGCUAAUACCGGAUAAUAUAUUGAACCGCAUGGUUCAAUAGUGAAAGACGGUUUUGCUGUCACUUAUAGAUGGAUCCGCGCCGCAUUAGCUAGUUGGUAAGGUAACGGCUUACCAAGGCAACGAUGCGUAGCCGACCUGAGAGGGUGAUCAGCCACACUGGAACUGAGACACGGUCCAGACUCCUACGGGAGGCAGCAGUCGGGAAUCUUCGGAAAUGGGCGAAAGCUUGACGGAGCAACGCCGCGUGAGUGAUGAAGGUCUUCGGAUCGUAAAACUCUGUUGUUAGGGAAGAACAAAUGUGUAAGUAACUAUGCACGUCUUGACGGUACCUAAUCAGAAAGCCACGGCUAACUACGUG